rnacentral:SRP_RNA from 1 species
GCUGGGCAUGGUGGCCAGCGCCUGUAAUCCCAGCUACUCGGGAAGCUGAGGCAGGAGAGUGGCGGGAACCCCGGAGGCAGAGCUUGCAGUGAGCCGAGAUCACGCCACUGCACUCCAGCCUGGGAGACAGUGCGAGACUCCAUCUCAAAAUAUAUAUAUAUAUAUAUAUAUAUAUAUAUAUAUAGUUUUGAAAAGUGAGUCUCGCACUGUCUCCCAGGCGGGAGUGCAGUGGCGUGAUCGCGGCUCACUGCGAGCUCUGCCUCCGGGGUUCCCGCCACU